ensembl:lncRNA
CUAUUUCUGGGUGUUAAAGCCCCACAAUGCUUUGGUGAGGAGACCAUAAAUAACAGUGAGAUGGUCUAGGUAGAAUUUAAACCCUUUGAACAUAGUCCUCUCUUUUUCUCCAAUGUCCCUCUCCAAGGUCGAGCUUGACAACAUUUAUAUAUGGGCAAAUCUACUGUGUAACAGGGGUGUUUCUUGCUCUCCUUUCUUGAGCUUGAUGAAGGCAGACCAUGGGGGAAACUCCCUCUGUGUCUGAUGUAGCACUUGUCACAUCCAAUCGAGUGAAUUUGCAAGUAGGUAUGUGUUAGAUUCAUCGUGUGGUUAUGGAAACACCACUUUUGGACAAGGCGAGGUUACAAACUCUACCACAGGUACCAUAAGUGUUUGUGAUCACAUACGUAAUGUCUGCCCUUCAUCUCUUGCUAAACAUAUAGAUGUAACUUUACUUCAGAAGGUAAAGAUUGCUUUAGCUCACCGGUCAGUUGCUUUAUCUGAUAUCCAGACAUUCCUGUGCAUCUCCCUCUGCCUCAAAUGAAGGCUUUCUCCCCCUUGCUUAACACAACUGAGUUUUGAGGGACAUGAAGUAUGAUCUCCUCCAUAUCCUCCAGCUCUUCACUUCAUCAAACUGGUAGGAGCCUGGGAAAUACGUGAAGAGGAUCUGGGGUUGAGACACAGCCUGGAAAGCACCAAGUGACAUAGUAAGCACCUCUUGCAUCAUAAUGCAUCCUGAAAGCACAGAAGUUUUUUGUUAAGCAGAUGUAGCUCCUCUCUCUGUUUCUCCUGUGCUUUUCCCUGGUGCUGCAAUGACCAUUGAUAGGAAGAGUUCGGUUCCAGAAGAGAGAGAGAUGUGGGUCUUCGUGCUCUGGGCACACAUCUUUUAAGAAGGCACCCCUGAGGUCACAGGGGGAGGAGGUGGGGAAGAAGAUCCUCCAUGUCUGCAUCUGUGAGGCAAACACAUCCCAUCAGGCAGAAGACAGAAAACAUAAAAAGAGAAGCAUGUUCCCCAUUUCUCUUUCCACAAUCACACGUUGGCUGAGGAAAGAGCUCCCUUGGAUUUUGGAAGGGACCCUGGGCUGCAGUCCUCGGUGUGCCUGUCUACCUGUUGUCUUUCCAAACAAGCCUGGCGUAGGCAGCCCAGACAAGCAAUUGAGUGCCCAGUGACUGGGGCGAGACUGCCUGGAGCCUCACAUGAAAUAUGCUUGGGAGGAGUCCGAAGCUCGAAGCCAAGGCUGGCUAGGAAGAAAAAAAGGUCCUAUUUUGGGUGUUCUCACUAAACAUUCCACUUGAAGGAAUUUCCUUCUUUUAAGAAGGAACGUGAAAUGGUCACACACCAUUAAACUGAUGACU